rnacentral:rRNA from 1 species
GGUUAAGCGACUAAGCGUACACGGUGGAUGCCCUGGCAGUCAGAGGCGAUGAAGGACGUGCUAAUCUGCGAUAAGCGUCGGUAAGGUGAUAUGAACCGUUAUAACCGGCGAUUUCCGAAUGGGGAAACCCAGUGUGUUUCGACACACUAUCAUUAACUGAAUCCAUAGGUUAAUGAGGCGAACCGGGGGAACUGAAACAUCUAAGUACCCCGAGGAAAAGAAAUCAACCGAGAUUCCCCCAGUAGCGGCGAGCGAACGGGGAGCAGCCCAGAGCCUGAAUCAGUGUGUGUGUUAGUGGAAGCGUCUGGAAAGGCGCGCGAUACAGGGUGACAGCCCCGUACACAAAAAUGCACAUACUGUGAGCUCGAUGAGUAGGGCGGGACACGUGGUAUCCUGUCUGAAUAUGGGGGGACCAUCCUCCAAGGCUAAAUACUCCUGACUGACCGAUAGUGAACCAGUACCGUGAGGGAAAGGCGAAAAGAACCCCGGCGAGGGGAGUGAAAAAGAACCUGAAACCGUGUACGUACAAGCAGUGGGAGCACGCUUCGGCGUGUGACUGCGUACCUUUUGUAUAAUGGGUCAGCGACUUAUAUUCUGUAGCAAGGUUAACCGAAUAGGGGAGCCGAAGGGAAACCGAGUCUUAACUGGGCGUUAAGUUGCAGGGUAUAGACCCGAAACCCGGUGAUCUAGCCAUGGGCAGGUUGAAGGUUGGGUAACACUAACUGGAGGACCGAACCGACUAAUGUUGAAAAAUUAGCGGAUGACUUGUGGCUGGGGGUGAAAGGCCAAUCAAACCGGGAGAUAGCUGGUUCUCCCCGAAAGCUAUUUAGGUA